ACGCUGGCGGCGGCGUGCCUAACACAUGCAAAGUCAGAGCGGCGAAUAUAGGGGGGCAACUCCCUUAGUAUAGAGCGGCGAAACGGGUGAGUCAAACGGCGUGGGUAAUCUACCUCCGUAGUGGGGAAUAACCAGCGGGAAACUGCUUGCUUAUACCGCAUGACAUCGUCGGGUCGAUGGAUUCUGACGAUCAAAGCCGGGGACCGCAAGGCCUGGCGCUUUUGGAGAGGAGCCCCGCGUUCCGAAUUAGCUAGUUGGCGGGGGGUAAACGGCCUCACCAAGGCUAAGACGGGUAAGCUUGUUCGAGAGGACGACCAGCCACACUGGAACUGAGACACGGUCCAGGACACCUACGGGUGGCAGCAAGUCGAGAAUGUUUCACAAAUGGGCGAAAGCCUGAUGGAGCGACCGCCGGCGUGGGGGAUGAAUGGCUUUUCGGCCCGUAAACCCCUGUCAUCUGGGAACAAUUCUCAUCCGUUAACACCGGAUGGGUUGAUAGUUAACCGGAAGAGGAAGGGACGGCUAACUCUGUGCCAGCAGCCGCGGUAAUACAGAAGGUCCCCGAGCGUUUGUUCGGAUUUCACUGGGCCGUAAAGGGUGCGUAGGUGGUGAGGUAAGUCUGAUUGUGAAAUCCCGCAGCUCUCAACUGCGGAACUGCAUCGGAUAACUAUCUUGCUUUGAGGGUUUUGAGGGGGGACUGGGAAUUUCUCGGUGUAGCAGUGAAAUGCGUAGAUAUCGAGAGGAACACCAGUGGCGAAGGCGAGUCCCUGGAAAACUCCUGACACUGAGGCACGAAAGCUUAGGGGAGCAAAACAGGAUUAGAUACCCUGGUAGUCCUAGCCGUAAACGGUGCACGUUUGCUGUGAGUGGAAUCGACCCCACUCGUGGCGUAGCCAAACGCGUUAAAAAACGUGCCGCCUGGGAAGUACGGUCGCCAAGAUUUAAAACUCAAAGAAAUUGAACGGGGCCUGCCAACAAGGCGGUGGAGUAUGUGGAUCAAUUCGAUGCAACGCGAAGAAACCUUUACCUGGCCUUGACAAUGUACGUAGUAGAAGGGUGGAAAGCCUGAACGAGGUAGCAAUACCAGCGUACACCAAGGUGCUGCAUGGCUGUCGUCAGCUCGUGGGUCGUGAGAUGUUGGGUUAAGUCCCGCAACGAGCGCAAACCCUUGUGUCCUGUUGCCACCCAGCCGAGAGGUUGGAGCACUCCUGGACAGACUGCCUCAUUUAAAAUGAGGAGGAAGGUUGGGGAUGACGUCAAGUCAGUUAUGGGCCCUUACGGCCAGGGCUGCACACGUACUACAAUGCCCGGCCACAGAGGGAAGCAAGACCGGUCAGGGUGGAGCAAAUCCCAGAAAACCGGGCCCGUCCAGUUCAGAUUGUCGUCUGCAACCUCGACGGGCAUGAAGCCGGAAUCGCUAGUAAUGGCGCAUCAGCUACGGCGGCCCGUGAAAUUACGUUCCCCAGGCCUUGUACACACCGCCCGUCACAUCAUGAAAAGCCGUUUUGUACCCGAAGUCCAUGGUGCCAGCCGCAAGGAGGCAGUGUGCCGAAGGUAUGAGUG
rnacentral:rRNA from 1 species